GGCUCACUAUCGGAUCGUUUUAGAAACAUCAGUGGCCAACGGUCGUCAGGAUCGUUGAGCUGCAUUGGCGGGAUUUCGCCGUCUACGUUUCUCUUUCUUCGCGGACGAACACGCGCUGGGCCUGUAUGCGCAGGAUCCCAUGGUCCUUGACGGGAUAUGCGUUAGGGGCUUGUAGCUCAGUUGGUUAGAGCGCGCGCUUGAUAAGCGUGAGGUCGGAAGUUCAAGUCUUCCCAGGCCCACCACACUCAUCGAGUGAGCAUUCGUCUUCUGGUUACGGGGCCAUAGCUCAGCUGGGAGAGCGCGUGCUUUGCAAGCAUGAGGUCGUCGGUUCGAUCCCGUCUGGCUCCACCAGAUGGUUUGAUCAUCGACUGAUCGUGCACCUAAAAUCGUCCGCGAUACAUCACUCCGCAUCUUGCUAGUCUGGAUAGACAGCAGGUUUGCGUGAUUUCUGACAUCGUAAAGAGGAGAUCGAUCCGAGUUGGAUCGGGCAACAAGCAAUUGUUGCACGAUACUUCAUUAUCUCCGGAUCAUUUCGGCGCUCGUGCGCCUUUCAGUGUAGCUCACAAGGCUGCGUCUGAAAGACAUGCGAGUUGUAAAUGAUCCUUUUAGCGAAGCUUGACCGCCUCGCUAUCGGAACGAUCUUACGAAGCAAGCUGGUCUUUCUAAUCAUUGUCCGGCUGCAGAUAGCGUUCAUCGAGGGCGCGUGCCUUAGAGAUUUAGGUCUCUUGGUAAUUCUGCAGACAACAUUCUGCCGAGUGUGUGGACAUUGAUAAUGAGAGCAAUCAAGUGCCUUAAGGGUGUUCGGUGGAUGCCUUGGCGCUGAGAGGCGAUGAAGGACGUGCUACGCUGCGAUAAG
rnacentral:misc_RNA from 1 species